CACCAGCCUUGUAUCUUACAGUUCAGUUCUUAUGUACUUGGUGUAAAAGAUUUUAAGCAAUUAUAACUUGUAGAAGUUAUACUGAUUAAUUGUUUUGGCAACACAGCAUAUUGUCCAGUGCACAUGGUUAAAGAUGCGCUACCUUCAAAUAUUUUCUGUUCUUCUUUUUAGUGUUGGAAAGUUCACGAUUGGCAAAUUUCAAGCUGUAGUAAAUGCACAACCUCAAAAACAAUUAAGAAAGCAAUUUGUUGGAACAUGAAGAAAGCAGAAAGCAAUUUGUUGGAACAUGAAGAAAUCAAUUUGUUGGAACAUGAAGAUUGAAGAACCCAGAAAGCAAUUUGUUGGAACAUGAAGACCUUCAAAUGUGUUUUCUGUUUGAUUAAAGGCCUUAAUGAAAAAAAAACUGCUUCCUGUUAUCAUCUAGGUCAUUACAUUGGAUGGCAUUUGUGCAUGUAGGACAGUUGCAGAUCUUAAUAGAUUUAUGGAUCUAAACUCAAAUUUAUGGAACUAAAUUAUAUGGAUUUAUGGAACUAAAAUCAAAUUAAAUAUGGAUUGAUAAUAUGGAUAAAAAAUAUGGAUUUAUGGAACUAAAAUCAAAUCAAAUCAAAGUGUUGUUUACAUUUUUGGGGUUGUACAACUUGUACAUAGUGGAAUACACUAGAUGUUAAAGUUUCAUUUACUUGGUUCCCUUUGUAAAAACAACACUACAACUUACAUGCACCAACAUCCGGUUUGUUGCAAGUUGAAACCAAUUUUAUUGCCUGAUAUAUUUUACUCUGCCAACAAGUCUUAAUAACAACUUACAUGCACCAACAUCCGAUUUGUUGCAAGUUGAAACCAAUUUUAUUGCCUGAUAUAUUUUACUCUGCCAACAAGUCUUAAUAACAACUUACAUGCACCAACAUCCGAUUUGUUGCAAGUUGAAACCAGUUUUAUUGCCUGAUAUAUUUUACUCUGCCAACAAGUCUUAAUAACUAAGGGGCUAUUUACAUGAGCCCGACUAGUCCUGUUAACUGAGGCACCCAGCUUAAUUCAAAUCAUUUAACAAGAAUCUGCCUAGCCGAGAUCUCACUCGAGUCAAAGAGGAUGCCCGGAUAACCGGGCUGAAAUUUCUCCAUGUAAAGUCACCAGCUUAGGUAACCUCCUGGCUAGCCAGGCCUUCAGCCUGGUUAACUGGGCCAGCCUGCAUGGCUAGCCGGGCUCAUGUAAACAGCCCCUAAGGUGAUAGCAACAAUAAUGUAUUUGGUGCUAAAUGUAACAUAAACUUGAGUAACAGAGAAAAUUCUCAUAUUCAGAUUAUUUUCCCCUCAUUGUAGAGUAAACUGUUAAUACUGUAUGUAUCUUAAAAACUAGAGUGUAUAUUAGAAUCUGACAGAUUUAUAAUUUAAACUGUCGUUAAGAUAAAUCAGGUCUUUUAUUGUCUGUUUUGUAAAUGAAGUUCCCUGAUUCAUCCAAGCAUUGAUCUUUAAACUAUUUUUCCAAUAUCAAUGAACGACAUGAUAAUGUCAUAGGAGGCCUUGUCACUUGUGAUACCAAAUUUGUAAAGUCACAGCCAAAGGAUUUCAAUAGGUUCAAGUCAAUAUAUUAUCUCUAAAAUUCAUUUUUGAAGAAGAAGUAGGUCCAGCAAUUUCUUUCAUAUCGCAAUAUUAUUUUAUAUUAAACGAUUGUAGGCCAAUAUGCCAAGUUGAAUUACACUGUUUGAAUAGUUAGUUCACUUAGUUGAUCACAGAUUCACAGAAGGUUCGAUGAACUCGAUUUAUUUCCUUCAUUGUUCAUGGCAUUCACGUCCUUAAUCUUUUUGUACACCAUGAAAUAUCACCAACUUAUCACUCAAAACAUAUUUUACGGCGAUCAGACUAACCACACAUAAGCUAUAUAACUUUAUAUGUUUAUCACUAUUCGCCAAAGACCGAGGUGAAAUUAAUCGAUGUAUGACAAUGGCCAAAUUCCACGCUUAAAUUCGUUUCUUAUCCUCAUAGUAACAAUUAAAUUAAAGAACAACCUCUUCUUUAUGAUAUUUCAAAGUAUCAUGAGUUUUGCUUGGAUACAUAAAAAGCUAGAGCACUUUUAGUGGCUCUAUUUCGCAUUCCGCCAUAUUAACUCCUAUAAAAUUUCCUCUGGUUUGGUUGCUUUCAAC